CAGCCGCCGCGGUAAUACGUAGGUGGCAAGCGUUGUCCGGAAUUAUUGGGCGUAAAGGGCUCGCAGGCGGUUUCUUAAGUCUGAUGUGAAAGCCCCCGGCUCAACCGGGGAGGGUCAUUGGAAACUGGGAAACUUGAGUGCAGAAGAGGAGAGUGGAAUUCCACGUGUAGCGGUGAAAUGCGUAGAGAUGUGGAGGAACACCAGUGGCGAAGGCGACUCUCUGGUCUGUAACUGACGCUGAGGCGCGAAAGCGUGGGGAGCAAACAGGAUUAGAUACCCCGGUAGUCCCUGUCUCUUAUAC
rnacentral:rRNA from 1 species